rnacentral:rRNA from 1 species
UACGUAGGUGGCGAGCGUUGUCCGGAUUUACUGGGCGUAAAGGGAGCGUAGGCGGACUUUUAAGUGAGAUGUGAAAUACUCGGGCUCAACUUGAGUGCUGCAUUUCAAACUGGAAGUCUAGAGUGCAGGAGAGGAGAAUGGAAUUCCAUGUGUAGCGGUGAAAUGCGUAGAUAUAUGGAGGAACACCGGUGGCGAAAGCGGCUCUCUGGCCUGUAACUGACACUGAGGCUCGAAAGCGUGGGGAGCAAACAGG